rnacentral:rRNA from 1 species
UACGGGGGGAGCAAGCGUUGUUCGGAUUUACUGGGCGUAAAGCGUGCGCAGGCGGUUGUGCAAGACAGAUGUGAAAUCCCCGGGCUUAACCUGGGAACUGCAUUUGUGACUGCACGGCUAGAGUGUGUCAGAGGGGGGUAGAAUUCCACGUGUAGCAGUGAAAUGCGUAGAUAUGUGGAGGAAUACCGAUGGCGAAGGCAGCCCCCUGGGAUAACACUGACGCUCAUGCACGAAAGCGUGGGGAGCAAACAGG